UGGGGGGGGGGGCUUACACAUGCAGUCGAGCGGUAACAGAGAGUAGCUUGCUACUUUGCUGACGAGCGGCGGACGGGUGAGUAAUGCUUGGGAAUAUGCCUUAUGGUGGGGGACAACAGUUGGAAACGACUGCUAAUACCGCAUAACGUCUACGGACCAAAGGGGGGGAUCUUCGGACCUCUCGCCAUUUGAUUAGCCCAAGUGAGAUUAGCUAGUUGGUAAGGUAAAGGCUUACCAAGGCGACGAUCUCUAGCUGGUUUGAGAGGAUGAUCAGCCACACUGGGACUGAGACACGGCCCAGACUCCUACGGGAGGCAGCAGUGGGGAAUAUUGCACAAUGGGCGAAAGCCUGAUGCAGCCAUGCCGCGUGUGUGAAGAAGGCCUUCGGGUUGUAAAGCACUUUCAGUUGUGAGGAAAGGGGUGUAGUUAAUAGCUGCAUCCUGUGACGUUAGCAACAGAAGAAGCACCGGCUAACUUCGUGCCAGCAGCCGCGGUAAC
rnacentral:rRNA from 1 species